AGAGAGAGACAUGCGCGCAUAUCAAUAAGCGGAGGAAAAGAAACUAACAAGGAUUCCCCUAGUAACGGCGAGUGAGGCGGGAAGAGCUCAAAUUUGAAAUCUUAAAGGGUUUCCCUUUACGAAUUGUAGUUUAAAGAAGUGUUUUCUGUUGAGGUUUUGGUAAAAGUUCUUUGGAAUAGGACAUCAUAGAGGGUGAGAAUCCCGUAUUUGACCUUUACUUUCAACUUUGUGAUACACUUUCAAAGAGUCGGAUUGUUUGGGAAUGCAGUCCAAAAUGGGUGGUAAAUUUCAUCUAAAGCUAAAUAUUGGCGAGAGACCGAUAGCGAACAAGUACCGUGAGGGAAAGAUGAAAAGAACUUUGAAAAGAGAGUUAAACAGUACGUGAAAUUGUCAAAAGGGAAGCGUUUGACACCAGUGUUGUUUUUCUGAAAAUCAAUUAAAGAACUGUUUAUGCUAAGUUGUUUAGACUUUAUCAGCUAACUGUUUAGUUUUGAGCUUUUCUUUAAUGCACUUUUCAGUUAACAAGUCAACAUCAAUUUCUUUUGCUGUAAAAAAGCUUGAGGAAGGUGGCUUGAGAUUCGUCUUAAGUGUUUAUAGCCUCUUGCCUAUGCAGUCGGAGAGAUUGAGGUCUGCAGCGUAGAUCCUUCGGGGCUAAAUGCAUUUGUGCUAAGUUAUAGCAUUUUAUAGACAACUUGUUGACUAUGAUUUGUCUUGUAGCUUACCUCGCUUAUGUUAUUUUACCUACGCUUAGGAUGUUGACGCAUGAGAUAUACGC
rnacentral:rRNA from 1 species